AUUAUUUGCAGCUGCAUGCAGUGAUACAAAUAGAAAUAGAAAAACCAAAAUAGACUUACAAAUAAGUAUACAUAUAUGUACACCGAGAAGCAUGGCAUAACUAGCAAACUAGAACUUAAGUUGCAACAAAGGAGUACCACCAGUAGCAACAGCAACGCCGGCAGACGGAGACGAUUUGCGGGAACGCUUGCUUAGCAACUGACUGGCCGAUGGUUGAUUGGGGUGAACCAGCGGUGUUUUUGGCUGGAGGAGCAACGGACGUGCAGCAAGGCUAUGUACGAAAAUUGUGCCUGCUACAAGAAAAAUUGUGGCACCACACAGCCACAGCCAACACUGCAGAGCGCGAUGGCGACAUGACAUGACGCCACACUGGUGGCACACAUAGCCUCAGAUGGCAAUGGCGAUGGCGGCGGCAGCAGCGGCAAACGCGAUGGCAGCAGUGAAUGACUCACUUUGCUGGUGGUGCGGUGCCGACCACUUCCAACAAACCGCAAACGAAAAGCAAAAUAAUGCAGUGGCACGAAAAACAACUGAAAAGCAACUGCAACAAGCAACGAUGUGAAACUAAAAUUGAAAAAAUUCCGCAGCCUGAAAAAAAAUAUUCGCGCAAAUGCAAAAACGAAUGAAAAAUGAAGCAGACUGAAGAAAUAUAGGAACCACCCAAGCCAACUUCGCUCGGCACAGACAACACCACCACAUUACAACUUGAGCCAGCCGGCGAAACGGCCAACAAAUUUUAACCGGCUGCCGCCGAAUGAGCGAACGAAUGAUGCAGCCAGCCAAACAGCGCUGAACAAAGCCCUACACAUAUUUAGAUUUUACAUAGGUAUGUAUGUAUAUAUAUACUAGGUAUGUAAUUGAGAAAAUUUGAGUUGGCAAAUGAGAAACGAAGCAAUGCAGUGUGUAUGCAGAAAAGUCCAGACGAAUCAAUCGAGAGAAUGGCUAAAAGUUGUAUGGACAGCAGAGAGAAAUCGAAGCAUGGAGCUAAACGCUAAUAGGUCAAACACGCCAGAAAAGGAGUUAAAUCUUUCCACGAAAGCUAUAGCCAUAAUUAGAAAUUUUAAAUUUACACACAUUUAAGAAAAAUUUAAAUUUCCGUGCAAUUAUGCUGAACGUUAUGCGCUGGAAAGCAUAAUUUGCCGAAUCUAUUUCAAGUACGCUACAGGAUAAGCUACUUGCUGGCAACUAGAUUUGAUUGAAGCUGAACUUCAACUUGUUCGUCUUCUAUCCUUUCCCCAUGCUAUCAAUCAACUGGCAUUUUUAAGAUGGCAUUAACCUACGAAAUUCCAAUUGUACGGCUAUGUAGCAGCAUCAUAACAGCUGAUGGAGUUGUCUGCCUUUCCAUCACUAGAGCCGAUAGUAGGUUCCUUCCCGAUGAUCAGAGAUACUUUUUAAUAUUAUCGAUAACAUUUGUAUCGUUAUCGUUUUUACAAAUAUCAUGUUAGCCCCGAUUUAUUACACAAAUAAAUAGAUAUCGUUAUCGGUAUUUUUAUUUAUA